rnacentral:rRNA from 1 species
UACGUAGGGUGCAAGCGUUAAUCGGAAUUACUGGGCGUAAAGCGUGCGCAGGCGGCUUUGCAAGACAGAUGUGAAAUCCCUGGGCUUAACCUAGGAACUGCAUUUGUGACUGCAUUGCUAGAGUGUGGUAGAGGGAGAUGGAAUUCCGCAUGUAGCAGUGAAAUGCGUAGAUAUGCGGAGGAACACCGAUGGCGAAGGCAAUCCCCUGGGCCUGCACUGACGCUCAUGCACGAA